GUAAAUAUAGUUUAAUAAAAACAUUAGAUUGUUAAUCUAAUACUAGAAGUUUGAAUCUUCCUAUUUACC
rnacentral:tRNA from 1 species